CUGUUUUGCUUUGUGUACUAUUGGGGUUCUGUAAAGAUUAUAUAUGGGAAAAUUCCUUGCCCCAAAUGAAAAACUAAAAUCACUGGACAAGAUGAUCUCUUAAGGUCUCUUCCACGUUGAACUUGUACCACUUCACAGAAAAUACAUCAGAGAUUUGCGUGUUCUUUCUCUACAUAUAUGUAACAGUCUUGCAUGUGUCAUUUGAUGCUUGUAUUCCUUUUGGGUUCUUAAUGGUAAACCAAGGAGAGCAUCGGGGAGGCCAGGUUUUCGACACUCACUGAUAGCGUCGCCUUCUGAGAUAGAGGCCACUGCUGCUGGGCAGGAGCGUCAGACUCCUUAGGGUAGAAUACCAAGGACUGCCUUCUGUUUUUAAAUUCAAGUCCUCACUUGCCCGCUUGCUUCCUUGCAAGUUUGACCUCAUUUCUUAGGCUGAGUGCCCAUGUUUUUGUCCUAUCACGGCCCGACAUCAUCUUAAAGCAAAUGGGAUGAUGAGUUGAAAAUUCCAGUGGGAGGGAAACCCAACACAUCCCUUGGAUAGAAGAAUGGAGCUGUUUUGAAGAUUUCCCACCCAGGCUCUGGGCGCAUUCCCCCACUUCUCAAGUUUCCUGUGAUGACAGUGGCGGCCUAAUUAGGUUUGGAUGUCUUCCAUCUCAGUGCCAGGACACCCUAAAGAGCCACAGAGCUUCACACAGGCCCAAAAGUUUGUUACCGAAGACAAUGAAUGCUGACAUGCGGUUGAUGUUGAAAAGCAGGUGGAAGUGGAGGAAAAAACAGGACUUAUUUAUCAAGUGUUGGAACUCCAACACGCACUGGAAGAUCUAUCUGCAAGAGUAGAGGAGGUUAAGGAAGAAAAUCCGAAGCUAAGAAAUCAGAAAACCAAGGUCUUGGGUAAGAUAUAGAAAACCUCAUUGUACAACUAUAAAUGUAAUAAAAUUCAUUGAGUCAUUAAAAAAAUAUAUAGAAAACCUCAUGUCAGCUUCUAGUGUUUUCCAAACUGCCAGAAAAUGCAAAAGAAAAUAAGAGAUUGAUACCCCUUAUGUCUUAUGGAAUUGCUGCUGGUAUUUUUGCUUUAAAACUUGAUAGAUUCCGGGAGUUCCCGUCGUGGCGCAGUGGUUAGCGAAUCCGACUAGGAACCAUGAGGUUGCGGGUUCGGUCCCUGCCCUUGCUCAGUGGGUUAACGGUCUGGCGUUGCCGUGAGCUGUGGUGUAGGUUGCAGACGCGGCUCGGAUCCCACGUUGCUGUGGCUCUGGCGUAGGCCGGUGGCUACAGCUCCGAUUCGACCCCUAGCCUGGGAACCUCCAUAUGCCGCGGGAGCGGCCCAAAGAAAUAGCAAAAAAAAAAAAAAAAAAAAAAAAAAAAAACUUGAUAGAUUCCUUAGAGUUCCCUUCGUGGCUCAGCAGUUAACGAACCCACCUAGGAUCCAUGAAAAUGCGGGUUCCAUCUCUGGCUUCGCUCAAUGGGUUAAGGAGCCAGCAUUGCCGUGAGCUGUGGUGUAGGUUGCAGAUGUGGCUCAGAUCUGGCGUGGCUGUGGCUGUGGCUGUGGUGUAAGCCGGUGGCUACAGCUCCAAUUCAACUCCUAGCCUGGGAAAUUGCACAUGCCGCAGGUACGGCCCUAAAA
rnacentral:lncRNA from 1 species